rnacentral:lncRNA from 1 species
AUUAGGACAGAUUAGUUGAUUAGUAGCAACAAUUUUCACCGUCCGGUCGCAGUUGUAGCAGUGAUAGUAACGCUGCCUAGCAGCGGUGGAACUAGUGGCGCCACCACCUUCUCCUCUUCCAAGUAGACCACUGCCGCGAUCAGAUACUCCGACGGAUGCCAUUCUUCUGGGACUUCCAUGUAAAACAGACGAGAUAAUACCACUACAUGCUAAUCUGAGUCGUUUUAAGUUAGAGGGAAAUAAUCUCAUCUCAAUUGACUUCUUAGCUCUGAAGUCUUCCUUUCACAGACUACAAUAAUUUGUCCUCCCAAUUUAUUAAUUUGGCUUUUUCUAGUGCUCGUGUAAAGUCUCAAUCAAACAAGUGUUGCUCUUAUCUUAUCGAUGAUCAAUAUCAUAAUACAUAUACGAUUUUUCUAACACAAUAAAAAAGAAGUAUUCAUCUAAUAAUCAUAUAUAUAUAUAUACUAACAAUUAUUAUCUUUCAUUACUUUUAUAUAAUUUUUCUAUUUAAUUUUAUCUAUCAUUUCUUAUAUUUAUUUAUUUAUUUUUAAUUAAUUUUAUAUUUUUGAAAGUAUAACACCUGAAAUAUGUAUCGCCUGACCCAUAUAUAUAUAUAUAUAUAUAUAUGUAACAUCUUUUUUUUUUUCGUGAAUGGUUUUUUUUUUUCGUUUAACAAAUGGUUUAAAUUUUUUUUUUGACACGAAAAUAUCCGAGUCAAUUUUUACGGGACCCGAUUAAUCCCCUGCGAUCCGAACCGGCGCCCUAACCCGACCCAACUAACAAAUGGUUGAUGUUGGCGCAAAAAAGUCAUGUAUCGCAACAAUUUUUAAUACGUGUAGCUUUAUUAACCAAAAACCCGUCGGUAACAGAAAUUGCAAAUAAAUGUUAGCGACUCCCCCCUGUUCUCACAACUCGACAAUAAAGUAGCAGUUAAGACUUCAGAGACUUUUCCGCUAUUCUCACAACUCAACGAUAAAGUAGUAGUAAUACGUGUAGUAGCAAUACAUAUACACGGGCAAAGAGUAGCCUCAAACUAGAGGUGCAUUUGAGUCUAUGUCAAGCUCGAAUAAUAUCUUACUCGUUCUCGAACUCAAACUCGAUCAUUAAUAAUAAUGUUAUUUGAACUAGAGCUGGAGCUCAAUUGAAUAAAGAAUCUUAAAUUCAAAUUCGACUUGAGCAAGUAGUGUAUGAGCUUGAAGAUUCUUGCAAGCUAACUUGAGAUCAAUCUUUGAUUUUUUAGUGGUAAAUUUCACAACUUCGAUAUUUACAAGUGUAAUUUCAUAUAUAUAUUAUUUUUAAUUAAACAAAUCUAAUUACUAGAAUAAGUUUGUCGAGUAAUCGAAUCUACUUUUCUAAAAUUUCUGGUCAACUCGAAUUUGCCAAUGAGUUGCUCAAACUUGAUUCGAGUUUGAUUUUGAUCGAACUUGAAUCGAGCCUCUGAUCGCGAGCCGUUUAAAUCUCUAAUAGUUGUAUUCCUCACAAAGGGAGAUUUCCUAAUCUACCAUAGAAAGAAACAAACUUCAAACCCCACUAAAACUUUAAGAAGGAAGGCAACAAAACUUCUUCACAAUGCAAUCACUUUAGUAACUAUUUUAAUCUAAUAAUAACUUUAAGAAAUAAAUUAUACAACAAGCUUGGUUUUAAAAAGAAAAAUAUUCUAACAGUUGAGAAUUCAGUCUUUUGGAUGUCGUUCCAUGUCAGAGAAGGUGGACGCACGACAAUUUUUCUCAUUGGCAUUUUGUUUUUUUUUUCAGGGGAAAGUGGACAAAUGAAUAGGCUAGAUCUACGCGCAAGCAACUCGAACGAAAAGGCACUACCUUUAAAAACUUUGAAGGUGAAGUUUGUCACUCACCACUACCCUUUGCCCUUUAUCCUGAAAAGCCUUGUCAUGCUCUGAUUAAUUUGUGCUAGAAAAUGAAUAGACUCACCACUACAAGACAGGUCGAUCCUCUUGCACUGUUAAGAAGACUCUAGUGACUUGUCUGUGAAUGAUCACACUACUAAUUGCACCAUGAAACAUAGGUUGACUGAAGGAAUAUGCUCGAAGUACAGAAUUUAUAGUGUUAUGAAACACAUAAUUUUGUUUUGAGUUUGGCAAGUGUUAUUUUGAAUGGAAGAAUCCUACAGUAAUUAAAGAACUGAAUUACGUUGAUAUUUCCAUAUGCCCAGAGAUAGCUUCUCCAAUGGCCCUCUUGUGAUUGAUUUAUAGCUCUUCAUCUCCCCCUGCUUCAUCCUUACCUGGAAAGAAAUGCAUCAUUUCGCAUUGGAGUCAACUUUGCAGUAGGUGGAAGUACAGCACUAGAUAACAGUUUUUUCUACGGAGGAAACAUUUCUGUACCAUCUACGAACACUUAUUCCUCUUAGCCAUCAGCACAAAUGGUUCAAGAAACAUCUCAAGUCAGUUUUGAAUGAUCAAUUACAACGGGAAAAAUGGCUAAGAAGAGCUCUUUUCAUGAUGGGGGAAAUAGGUGGGGAUGACUUCAACUAUGCAUUCUCCCAGGGCAAAUCCAUAAAGGAGAGGAGGAUUUGUGUGCCAUAUGUUGUUGAAGCCACAUCUAUUGCUACAAGUAAUUCAAUUUGGGGCCAGGCUUAUAAUACUUCCAGCAAACAUUCCCACUGGAUGUUUGCUUAAAUUUCUGACAUCAUUUCCGAGUGUUGAUCCCAAAGUUUAUGAUGAUAAAGGGCUGUUUAAAAGACUUAAUUAAACAAGUUUGUUAUGUUCUACAACAAUUAUCUUCCAAAAAACUCUAGCAUCCCCAAGACUAGAAUUCCCAGGAGUUGUCAUUCGCUAUUAUGACCCCUAUAAAUCCUUCCAAUGCAUCCUCCAUAAUAGACUGGUUCUCUUGGUUUUAAUCAAACAUUUGUGGUCUAAGGCAAGCUUUAAUCAUUGCUCAAGGCAUGUUGUAGAAGAGGAGGGAAGUAUAACUACAAUGACAACAUGAUCUGUGCAUCACAUGGAGUAAAAGCUUGCCUUAGACCACAAAGCAUUAUUCAUUGGAAUGGAGUGCAUCUAACACAAGGCAUAUAUACUGAUAUAUUUCUGACCAAUUGCUCAGAGAAGUUUUGUCUAGCAUUAUUGAGUCUGUUGUAGAUUCUGAUGAUGCUGAAUUAAGUCUGGUUUGGGCCGGAAGUUUUAGCAUGGCAUUGGAAAUUUUAGAAGCAGAUGAGAUGAGACUAAUUUGCGUAGUUUUAAGUUAGAAGAAAAGAAGCUUUAUUGACUUCUUAGCUCUGAAGGCUUUCCUGUUAGGCUUUUACAGACUAAAACAAAACAAAACAAAAAACAGAUAUGGUCUGAUUUGGUAAAUACGUCAUAUAGCUAGUAGUAAGAUUUUGUCCUACCAGUUUAAGUUGAUCGGAAAAAUGUAGUUUUGGUUCCAUAUUUGUCCUGUGUGUCAAAUUGGUCCCAAAUAUUUUCACUAUAACAAAUCUAGUCCCUUAAUUUUUUUUUUAUUUUAGGAGAUUUAGGAGAACUAAUGGAAAAUCACCAUAACUAACUAUCAACAUCAAAUUGGUGCCAGUCAAAAAUUCUAAAUUUGUAUUUUUAGUCCCUAAUGUUCCUACUUUCAAUCAUUAUGCUCCCUUAGGUUUUAAGUAGUUACAACCAGGGCAUUUUAGAUGAAAUGGUAUGUGAAUUGAAUGAAAUAUACGACAAAUAUAUUUUUAUUAAAUUUCAUUAAAACACUUUAUAUUGACAUAACAUGAUCAUAGCCUAAAUAGCAUAUCUUUGUUAAAUAAAUUAUAAUUUGAUGACAAUAUAUCAAUAAUAAAUAAAAUUUAAAGUAGUGGCAGAAACAGAGAAUUCUAGUUUUAUAAUCUAAGUAUACAGUUGCUACUACACAAAUUGUUGCGUCUUAUGCAUGUGGGCAUCGAAUUGUUGUAAUUAGCCACUGUACU